rnacentral:rRNA from 1 species
UACGAAGGGGGCUAGCGUUGCUCGGAAUCACUGGGCGUAAAGCGCACGUAGGCGGAUUGUUAAGUCAGGGGUGAAAUCCUGGAGCUCAACUCCAGAACUGCCUUUGAUACUGGCGAUCUUGAGUCCGGGAGAGGUGAGUGGAACUGCGAGUGUAGAGGUGAAAUUCGUAGAUAUUCGCAAGAACACCAGUGGCGAAAGCGGCUCUCUGGGACGGUAC